ACACGAACCGUACAAACGUUAUUCGGAAUCACUGGGCUUAAAGGGUGCGUAGGCGGCUUGGAAAGUUGGGUGUGAAAUCCCUCGGCUCAACCGAGGAAUUGCGCUCAAUACUGCCAGGCUAGAGGGAGACAGAGGUGAGCGGAACUUAGGGUGGAGCGGUGAAAUGCGUUGAUAUCCUAAGGAACACCAGUGGCGAAGGCGGCUCACUGGGUCUCUUCUGACGCUGAGGCACGAAAGCUGGGGGAGCGAACGGGAUUAGAUACCCCGGUAGUCC
rnacentral:rRNA from 1 species